UAUUAGUUAUGUUCUUUAAACCCAAAGAAUUUGGCAGGGUUUUAUUCUAAUCAGAGGAACUUGCCCCGUUAUCGAUAGUCCUCGUUAUAUCUUUCUUGAUUUAUUUAGUAUGUAUACCGCCGUUAUAAGUUUAUUUUUUUAGAAUUUAUUUACUGGUAAUUUUAUUUUAUUUUAUUUCAGGUCAAGGUGCAGCUUAUAAUUAAGUGGAGGUGAGUUACAAUAUUAUUUAAAUAAAUGGAUUUUUUUUGAAAAUUUUAAUGAAGGUGGAUUUGAUGGUAAUUUUAUUUAUAGAUUUAUUUUGAAUUUAGCUCUAAAACAAGUACACAUCGCCCGUCGCUCU
rnacentral:rRNA from 1 species